AUUGCCUACGGGAGGCAGCAGUGGGGAAUAUUGGACAAUGGGCGCAAGCCUGAUCCAGCCAUACCGCGUGGGUGAAGAAGGCCUUCGGGUUGUAAAGCCCUUUUGUUGGGAAAGAAAAGCAGUCGGUUAAUACCCGAUUGUUCUGACGGUACCCAAAGAAUAAGCACCGGCUAACUUCGUGCCAGCAGCCGCGGUAAUAAU
rnacentral:rRNA from 1 species